AGCGAGCCCUGAGGGGGAGCUGCCUUCCGACCGUGCCGAGGCAGUGAUGGGCAGGCAGCUGCUGCCCAGGGAGAGAAUUCCUCCCACUGAAAAGGAGCAGGACCAUUAACGUCACGUGCAGGGUUCCCUGGGGUCCCUUGAGUCCUCAGAAUCCCCGGAAUUCCCAGAAUCUCCAGGGUCCUCUGAUGUAGACAUCCCUCAACCAGUCCCAGGAAAGCUGAAACUAGCCAGUUCCCUUGGCCAGUUCCACAGAAUCUUCAUCAGAAAAGUGAGAAAGCACCAAGUCUUUACUCAAGAUGAAGAAGAAAAAGAAUAAUAGAACCCUAUGCAAAUUAACGUUACUCUAAAUAUGAUAUAGAUAGAAUUCUUCUAUGGUGAAAAAUUAUUCCCAGGGAGACAAAAUGUCAUGUAAAGAUGAGAGUAUUAGUAAAGAUUCAAUUACCCAAGGUGUCUUGGAAGACAGAGCAUUUGGGAAAGGUCAAUCAGAUCCUGUUGUGGAGUCAUCAGUUGAUACCCCAAGAUUCAAAGUUUUAAGAAUUAUUGAUAUUGAGUUUAUAAUCUUUGUUAUUUUUGGUUUUUGUAGUUAAUGGUGAUAGAUGGUGAUUGUUGUUAAUGUUGGAUGAAUGCUUUGGGAAGGUUGUGUUAAGACCUUCAAGCACUUCUUGUUGAUGAGUUGAUUUUGUGGUGCGAGUCUUCAGAUUUUUGUGAUGAGAAUUGUUGUUGGUGUGUUGUAGCAUUUGCAGCCGGCUUUCAUGUGUUUUCCUGUGUCUUUGUGCGAUCACCUGCAGAUCACAUGUUUCUUCAGGAUCCUGUCUUUCUUUAUUUCCUAACUACUUAUAUGUUUCUGAGGGUUCUUUAUCCAGAUUGCCAGUCUUGUGGUUCUUUUAAUUAUUAUUUCAGAAGUACACCAGCAGAGAAUUCAAGAAGUUUGCUGUGUUUGGAGAAUCUCUGUCUUGACAGAAACUUCAGAAGGAUUCAAUUACUUGCUGGUUUGAUUGGUUUGUAAUCCUAAUGUUUCUUGUUUAUAACUGUUGUUUUUAAAAAUCUUGUUUAAAAAAAAUGUGUCAAGUGAUACUCACCAAUUAGAGUUCGGGCUCUGGCCAAGCUCUAGCUCUAUUUGGAUGGAGUGAUUGACAAUCAACCCAGAUGUUUUCUGCAUCAAAUAGUAUUCAAGUCCUUUUGACUUGGCGAUUUGACCAUCUAUGACAGCUGAGGCAUUUUCAGAGGGAGUUGGGGAAAACACGAAUCUGGACAUGAUUUCUCCAAUUCUCUGUCGUUUUAAGGUUUAUCAGCUGUCACAGACUCUGGGAUGAGAGUUCAGUGUUGUAGUGUUACUAAUUCUCUGAUCUUGUAUGUGUUGUUGAUUGUAUUGUCUGAAUUUAUUCCUAAUUACUGUUAUCUUACAUUUCUCUAUGUAACAUUGCAAAAUGGAACCAGGACCCAUUCUUCACCUCCAGGAUUUUUGAGAAAAUCCUUCAGUCCCUGUGGGGAUGUGGGAUUUGUUUGUGUUUUAACAGGUGCAAAGUCCAGGUCGAUUUCAAUGAAGAAUGUGAAACUCUAUUAAGAGAAAGAAAGCGUUGACCAUUUGACAAGCAGAGAAGACAGACAGAUGUGGACUGUGCAGAGAUUCCAACCCUUGAGCUUCACCCGCGGAAGACUGUGGACUUUGGGCUUUUUUAUGGGUGUGGGAAUCAGUGAUAUAGAGCUUUUGUUAGAUGAUAGUUUUUUACAUUUUAAUGUGACUUGUAAUUCUUCUGCUCCUUUUGGCCAUGCAUUUUUCAGUGCAUGCAGCAGGCCUUGAAUGAGGCUGCCAAAGAGGUGUUUUUGUGGCAAAGAAAGGGGGAGAUGUCGGAACCCAGAGCAUCUCUCUGGAUGCCCUGGAUGUCUCAAAGCCCUGGCAGGAAGCCAAAGACACCUGGAAAUUCGAUCUUAAUUCAUGGAGCAAAUUGCAAACCUGAUAUGAAGAAUUACAGCUCACAAAAGUUUAAGUAGCAUAGUAGCAAUCACAGGGUGAAGGGAAAAAUUUUGGAGCACUGUACAGGGGGGUUUUGUAUGUUGUACAGGGGGGUUUGGAAUCCUGUACAUGGGGGUCAGGAGUCCCAAGAUGGAGGGAUUUGGGUGUGCCCUGUCCUUCUUUCUUCUCCUUGGCAUCCAUGUUCAGGAUGAUGUUGGCACGUGUGGAUUGGUUCAUGGUGAAGGUGCACUUGCCAACAAGGGUGAAAAGUAUUGGAAAUAGAAGGUAAAUAUCUUAUAUGUAGUUUUCACUAUAAAAGAGACAACCACCCCGUGGGCGGGAGAGAGUGCCCUUGGCUGUCUUGCUGAUCAGACCUCGGCUGGACAGACAGAAAAACUUUGUAGAUAAGGAACAAUAAACUCAACUGAAGACCGAAAA